rnacentral:lncRNA from 1 species
GAAAUAUGAGAGGUGAAGGAGAUCUAAGCGAAGGGAUCAAGAAGGGGACAGGUGAAGGGGAUCUAAGUGAAGGGAUCGAGAAAGGGCAAGGGAUAUGGGGCAUGGGGGGAGAGAGAUUGUCACAAAUACCCUUGAUGGACGGGGUAGCGGUGUGUCUAUUGCUUGAGGGUGGAUAGCAACUGCCGCACUACAUUUGGCCUAUGUUCGAACCCAUGCGGCAGCAAAAUUUUUGCUCGCUUUUUAGGGGUCAUUCGGCAGACCUAUUAUUCAAUGUGGGCAUGUUUCUCUUCCUAGGCCAGAUCGAGUGGAUUCUGGUGGCUCACUCAAAUGUGGACCAGCUCUGCAGCAAUUUAAUCUUGGGUCUAACUUUGAAAUAGGCUGAGGCCUUAUUAUCUACGGGUUCC